GAUGAACGCUGGCGGUGUGCCUAAUACAUGCAAGUCGAGCGAACAGACGCGGAGCUUGCUCGUCUGACGUUAGCGGCAGACGGGUGAGAAACACGUGUAUACCCUACCUAUCAGACGGAGAUCACCUCGGGACACCGGAGCUAAUACCGGAGAAGAUACUGAUGCGCAGGGUGGGAUGGAAAAAUACGGUUUUGCUGUAACGUAUAGAGGCAUACGGGCCGCAUUAGCUAGUUGGUAAGGUAACGGCCUACGAAGGCAACGAUGCGUAGGCGAACUGAGAGAGUGAUAGGCCACACUGGAACUGAGACGCGGUCCAGACGCCUGCGGGAGGCAGCAGUAGGGAAUCGGCCGCAAUGGGCGGAAGCAUGACGGAGCGACGCGGCGUGAGUUAUGAAGGUGUUCGGAGCGUAAAAACGGGUUAUUAGGGAAGAACAAAUUUGUAAGUAAAUAUGCACGUCUUGACGGUACCUAAUAAGAAAGCCCCGGCUAACUACGUG
rnacentral:rRNA from 1 species